rnacentral:rRNA from 1 species
GACGAACCACACGAACGUUAUUCGGAAUUACUGGGCUUAAAGGGUGCGUAGGCUGUGCAGAAAGUUAGGUGUGAAAUCCCCCGGCUCAACCGGGGAAUUGCGCUUAAAACUACUGUGCUAGAGGAAGACAGAGGUGAGCGGAACUUCGGGUGGAGCGGUGAAAUGCGUUGAUAUCCGAAGGAACACCGGUGGCGAAAGCGGCUCACUGGGUCUUUUCUGACGCUGAUGCACGAAAGCUAGGGGAGCAAACGGG